CCCACUCUAGUUCAAUGGUAGAACGUUCGGCUGUAGACCGAAAGGUUCCAGGUUCAAAUCCCGGGGGUGGGA
rnacentral:tRNA from 1 species